rnacentral:rRNA from 1 species
UACGAAGGGUGCAAACGUUGCUCGGAAUUAUUGGGCGUAAAGCGCACGUAGGCGGCUUAGCAAGUCGAAUGUGAAAUCCCUCGGCUCAACCAAGGAAGUGCAUCCGAAACUGCUGAGCUUGAGUACUUAAGAGGAUCGCGGAAUUCCCGGUGUAGAGGUGAAAUUCGUAGAUAUCAGGAGGAACACCGGUGGCGAAGGCGGGUCUCUGGGCAGUAACUGACGCUGAGGAGCGAAAGCGUGGGGAGCGAACAGG